rnacentral:rRNA from 1 species
GAUCUCAAAUCAAGUAAGACUACCCGCUGAACUUAAGCAUAUCAAUAAGCGGAGGAAAAGAAACUAACAAGGAUCCCCUUAGUAACGGCGAGUGAAGCGGGGUGAGCUCAAAUUUAGAAUCUGGCUGGUUUACUAGUCCGAAUUGUAGUUUAAAGAAGCGCUUUCGGUGGCAGCCUGGGUAUAAAUCCUUUGGAAUAGGGUAUCAUAGAGGGUGAGAAUCCCGUCUUUGACUCAGUGCAUGCUACUAUGUGAUACGUUUUCAAAGAGUCGAGUUGUUUGGGAAUGCAGCUCAAAAUGGGUGGUAAAUUUCAUCUAAGGCUAAAUAUUGGCGAGAGACCGAUAGCGAACAAGUACCGUGAGGGAAAGAUGAAAAGAGCUUUGAAAAGAGAGUUAAACAGUGCGUGAAAUUGUUGAAAGGGAAACGU